AGCUCCAAUAGCGUAUAUUAAAGUUGUUGCAGUUAAAAAGCUCGUAGUUGGAUUUCUGAUAGGGAGCCGAUCACCACUGUUGUGAGUGUUAGGUACCUGUCAUCCUUCUGUUAACCCCUGCGGCAUUCAUUUGUCGUUGGGCGGACCAGAUACUUUACCUUGAGAAAAUUAGAGUGUUUCAGGCAGGCCUAGCCGGAAUACAUUAGCAUGGAAUAAUGGAAUAGGACUAUAGUCUCGUCGUUGGUUACGUGGACUGCAGUAAUGAUUAAUAGGGAUAGUUGGGGGCAUUAGUAUUUAUUAGCUAGAGGUGGAAUUCUCUAAUUUGAUAAAGACUAACUUAUGCGAAAGCAUUUGCCAAGGAUGUUUUCAUUA
rnacentral:rRNA from 1 species